GCCCACCCGCCGCACGUACUAAGGAAGGCUCACAGCCCGCUGCGCUCGCUUCGCCGCCCCGCGUCUAGCUAGCCCAGCGUCCGCCGCGCCUCGGCCAAGGCUUCAACAGACCACAUCAAAAUGCCAUCUCAAAUGGAACAUGCCAUGGAAACCAUGAUGUUUACAUUUCACAGAUUUGCUGGGGAUAAAGGCUACUUAACAAAGGAGGACCUGAGAGUACUCAUGGAAAAGGAGUUCCCUGGAUUUUUGGAAAAUCAAAAAGACCCUCUGGCCGUGGACAAAAUAAUGAAGGACCUGGACCAGUGCAGAGAUGGCAAAGUGGGCUUCCAGAGCUUCUUUUCCCUAAUUGCGGGCCUCACCAUUGCAUGCAAUGACUAUUUUGUAGUACACAUGAAGCAGAAGGGAAAGAAGUAGGCAGAAACGAGGAAUUCCCCUGGCCCUGAUAACAGUUGUCCCAAAGGGUCACUUAAGGAAUCUGCCCCACAGCUUCCCCCAUGUAAGGAUUUCAUGAGCAGAUCAGGACCCUUAGCAAGUGUACAAAUAAAAUCUAACUCCCAUUUGAUGAGCAGAGAAAGAAAAGUUAAAUGCCAGACAAGCUUUUGAUUUUUGUAUUGUUUGCAUCCCCUUGCCCUCAAUAAAUAAGUUCUUUCUUAGUUCUG